ACAGAGAAAAAUUAUGAAUAGAAAACCUGCUAUACAUGAGUAUGAGAAUGAUGUUCCCAGUUCCUCAUAUACAGCUCUUGAUCGCAGGACCAGAUCUUCAGACCAGUACAACACAAUCAUUUCUGUCCAUCCCAGACCUGCUGUCCACCAGUCAGGCUCUUCGGAAUAAUAAUCUGACACCACAUAUGAAGACACCAUGGUAAGAUGAAGCACGAGUUAAAUUUUACUCCACAUUUGUGGCGUCGCUGGACACCCACAUCACAACUCCUGAUGAGUAGCUUUUGUAUGAUUAUGUACAUGUGUGACCUCAGUAUGCAAUGAAUGAGCAAUCAGUGUUAUCUUUUUUUGUUGUUGUUGUUGUUGCCAGAAUGUUUUUAGACAUUUUAUCUGUGUAAUAAAGGGUUGAUGUGACUAUAAUUUCCCACUAUUCCUUUUUAAACAGAACUUAAAAUGCUCAAAACCAGGGACCAUUUUCAACAUUCUCUUUCGAAUCUGUAGUUUAGUGCACGUAUCAAACUGGCCAAGCUGCAUGAUUUCAGCAAGUGAUAUUUUAUGUCAUACAUCACUUUUUUAUUUAUUAUUCUGAUAAUUUGAUGCUAAAAUGAAAUGAUUAUUUAGAACAGUGAAUUUAAUGAUAUU